GAUGAACGCUGGCGGCGUGCCUAAUACAUGCAAGUCGAGCGAACGGACGAGAAGCUUGCUUUUCUGAUGUUAGCGGCGGACGGGUGAGUAACACGUGGAUAACCUACCUAUAAGACUGGGAUAACUUCGGGAAACCGGAGCUAAUACCGGAUAAUAUUUUGAACCGCAUUGUUCAAAAGUGAAAGACGGUCUUGCUGUCACUUAUAGAUGGAUCCGCGCUGCAUUAUCUAGUUGGUAAGGUAACGGCUUACCAAGGCAACGAUGCAUAGCCGACCUGAGAGGGUGAUCGGCCACACUGGAGCUGAGACGCGGUCCAGACGCCUACGGGAGGCAGCAGUAGGGAAUCUUACGCAAUGGGCGAAAGCCUGACGGAGCAACGCCGCGUGAGUGAUGAAGGUCUUCGGAUCGUAAAACUCUGUUAUUAGGGAAGAACAUAUGUGUAAGUAACUGUGCACAGCUUGACGGUACCUAAUCAGAAAGCAACGGCUAACUACGUG
rnacentral:rRNA from 1 species